CAUUUUGUAUUGGAAAAAUCUUGAUUAGAGCAACGCCACUCUCUACAUCAAAUCGCUUGUUUGGAGACAACACGUGAACAUUCACCUUCACUGUGAAGUCUGGAACCUCGAGGAUAGAUCGCAUCAACUUUUGCUUUGAUGUGUAGGGCUGUAAAAUGACUGGAACAGCUCUGUUUUGAAAUCUCUCUAAAAAGCAAUCCGACUGAAAAUGAUCUAUCCUUACUCUGGAAUGUGGUCCGACUGCCUCUCUUUUAGCCUUAAACGCAGAAUCUACUCUCUCAACCAUGCUCGAUCGAAUUGAAAUCUAAACAGACUUCUCUCUUUGUUCCUGGCAUGUUUAUAUAUUUACGACAAACUUUACAAGUCAAUGACAUUACUAAUGAACCUUAGAUAUCUCAAAUCGAAGUUAGGAAACUUCAGAUUGACUAGAAGAGUUGUAAACUAAGAGAACACA